rnacentral:rRNA from 1 species
GACGUAGGGGGCCAGCGUUGUUCGGAAUUACUGGGUGUAAAGGGUUCGUAGGCGGUGUGGCAAGUCGGGAGUGAAAUCUCUGGGCUCAACCCAGAGUCUGCUUCCGAAACUGCUGUGCUUGAGUCUCGGAGAGGAAGGCGGAAUGCUUGGUGUAGAGGUGAAAUUCGUAGAUAUCAAGCGGAACACCGGUGGCGAAGGCGGCCUUCUGGACGAUGACUGACGCUGAAGCGCGAAAGCGUGGGGAGCAAACAGG